AUUGAACGCUGGCGGCAGGCCUAACACAUGCAAGUCGAGCGGAUGAGGGAAGCUUGCUUCCCGAUUUAGCGGCGGACGGGUGAGUAAUGCCUAGGAAUCUGCCUGGUAGUGGGGGAUAACGUUCCGAAAGGAACGCUAAUACCGCGUACGUCCUACGGGAGAAAGCAGGGGACGUUCGGGCCUUGCGCUACCAGAUGAGCCUAGGUCGGCUUAGCUAGUUGGUGAGGUAAUGGCUCACCAAGGCGACGAUCCGUAACUGGUCUGAGAGGAUGAUCAGUCACACUGGAACUGAGACACGGUCCAGACUCCUACGGGAGGCAGCAGUGGGGAAUAUUGGACAAUGGGCGAAAGCCUGAUCCAGCCAUGCCGCGUGUGUGAAGAAGGUCUUCGGAUUGUAAAGCACUUUAAGUUGGGAGGAAGGGCAGUAAGUUAAUACCUUGCUGUUUUGACGUUACCGACAGAAUAAGCACCGGCUAACUUCGUGCCAGGAGCCGCCGCCGUAA
rnacentral:rRNA from 1 species